rnacentral:rRNA from 1 species
GAUGAACGCUGGCGGCGUGCCUAAUACAUGCAAGUCGAACGGACAGACGAGCAGCUUGCUCCUCUUGCGUUAGCGGCGGACGGGUGAGUAACACGUGGCUAACCUACCUCUUUGUCUGGGAUAACCUCGUGAAACCGUAGCUAAUACCGGAUAAUCUAUUGAUGCGCAAGGUUGGAUACGGAAAGGCGGUUUUGCUGGCGCGUAUAGGUGGAUCCGCGUCGCAUUUGCUAGGUGGUAGGGUGACGGCUUAACAAGGCAACGGUGCGUAGCCGAGCCGAGGGGAUGAGCUGCCACACUGGACCUGAGACACGGCCCAGACUCCUACGGGAGGCGGCAGUGGGGUAUCUUCCACAAAGCGCUAAAGCCUGACCUAGCAACGCCGCGUGAGUGAAGAAGGGCUUCGGUUCGUAUAGCACUCUUAUUAGGGAAGAACAGCUGUGUAAGUAACUAUGCGUGUGUUGACGGUACCUAAACAAAAAGCCCCGGCUAACUACGUG